AGACAAAUCUCAUGCAGAAAAGGAAUAGAAGGAGACCAGAAAGGAAGGAGAGAAGACAGAUGGAGUAUCUAUAGACCUAAGCAGUAUGAAGUACUUGCUCUGAUGUGAUUCCUGAGGCUGAGCUGACACUGGUGAAACUGGAGGACCUGUCUGACAAUUUUCAG